GGAUGCGAUCAUACCAGCACUAAAGCACCGGAUCCCAUCAGAACUCCGAAGUUAAGCGUGCUUGGGCGAGAGUAGUACUAGGAUGGGUGACCUCCUGGGAAGUCCUAGUGUUGCAUUCC
rnacentral:rRNA from 3 species